GGCUUCCAGAGAGAGAGAGAGAGAGAGAGAGAGUGGGAGAGAGCGAGAGAGCGUCGGGAAGGGUGAGGAGCGGCGGUGAGGGCUGAAGGGGGUCCGCUAGGCAAAUGAGGGGAGAGAGGCUGCCGGGAGCGAGGGGAACCGCCGGCCGCCUCCACCGCUGCGCCGGGUCUCGUUUUCUUUCCUUGGGAGACGCCAUAAAAAUGCUGGAGAAAAAUCGUCAAUAAAAGAGCGUCUUAGGGAAGCAUGUCAGACCGGGGUGGCUGAUAAAAAUUUCAUCCUAGUUUAUGGGUCGCUUUCCUCGUUCUCGGUUGUCUUUCUGGAUGUGUUUGUGCCCGACGCAGCUCCGCCAACACCUGCAGACCGCCGGGAUGGGGACUCGCGGCGCCCAGAGCAAGAUGGCCACCCCCGCCCCUGGACCCCUCCCCCAGACCACCCCCGAGGACGGCCCUUCCCGGCGACGCUCCCUGACACGAGAUGGUCCUGGCGUUCUUGCAAGGUACGUUCCCGCGACUGUUCUUUUUAUUUUUGUUGCUGUUGUUUGUGCUUUCUUUUUAUCUUUAGUGGUAAUUACCUUCGUUCCCCUCAUUUAGUUUGCAGGCCUUGCCCCCCUCUUACCCUCCCUGCCUCCGCUCUCCUUAUCUCCCCCCCCACCCCUCCUUGGCGUCAUUGAACUUUCCGAGGUGCACUUAGCUUGAA